GGGUUGUGAGGUUAAGCGACUAAGCGUACACGGUGGAUGCCCUGGCAGUCAGAGGCGAUGAAGGACGUGCUAAUCUGCGAUAAGCGCCGGUAAGGUGAUAUGAACCGUUAUAACCGGCGAUUUCCGAAUGGGGAAACCCAGUGUGACUCGUCACACUAUCAUUAACUGAAUCCAUAGGUUAAUGAGGCGAACCGGGGGAACUGAAACAUCUAAGUACCCCGAGGAAAAGAAAUCAACCGAGAUUCCCCCAGUAGCGGCGAGCGAACGGGGAGGAGCCCAGAGCCUGAAUCAGCAUGUGUGUUAGUGGAAGCGUCUGGAAAGGCGCGCGAUACAGGGUGACAGCCCCGUACACAAAAGCGCACAUGCUGUGAGCUCGAUGAGUAGGGCGGGACACGUGGUAUCCUGUCUGAAUAUGGGGGGACCAUCCUCCAAGGCUAAAUACUCCUGACUGACCGAUAGUGAACCAGUACCGUGAGGGAAAGGCGAAAAGAACCCCGGCGAGGGGAGUGAAAAAGAACCUGAAACCGUGUACGUACAAGCAGUGGGAGCACCCUUUGGGGUGUGACUGCGUACCUUUUGUAUAAUGGGUCAGCGACUUAUAUUCUGUAGCAAGGUUAACCGAAUAGGGGAGCCGGAGGGAAACCGAGUCUUAACCGGGCGUUAAGUUGCAGGGUAUAGACCCGAAACCCGGUGAUCUAGCCAUGGGCAGGUUGAAGGUUGGGUAACACUAACUGGAGGACCGAACCGACUAAUGUUGAAAAAUUAGCGGAUGACCUGUGGCUGGGGGUGAAAGGCCAAUCAAACCGGGAGAUAGCUGGUUCUCCCCGAAAGCUAUUUAGGUAGCGCCUCGUGAAUUCAUCUCCGGGGGUAGAGCACUGUUUCGGCUAGGGGGCCAUCCCGGCUUACCAACCCGAUGCAAACUGCGAAUACCGGAGAAUGUUAUCACGGGAGACACACGGCGGGUGCUAACGUCCGUCGUGAAGAGGGAAACAACCCAGACCGCCAGCUAAGGUCCCAAAGUCAUGGUUAAGUGGGAAACGAUGUGGGAAGGCCCAGACAGCCAGGAUGUUGGCUUAGAAGCAGCCAUCAUUUAAAGAAAGCGUAAUAGCUCACUGGUCGAGUCGGCCUGCGCGGAAGAUGUAACGGGGCUAAACCAUGCACCGAAGCUGCGGCAGCGAACGUAUCACCCAAGACAACUUUACGGAGUUAACGAUUGACGGAGCGAAGCGACGUCAAAGCGUUCAUUAAAGUCGAGUUGGCUUAGGGAUACGUUCGUUGGGUAGGGGAGCGUUCUGUAAGCCUGUGAAGGUGGCCUGUGAGGGUUGCUGGAGGUAUCAGAAGUGCGAAUGCUGACAUAAGUAACGAUAAAGCGGGUGAAAAGCCCGCUCGCCGGAAGACCAAGGGUUCCUGUCCAACGUUAAUCGGGGCAGGGUGAGUCGACCCCUAAGGCGAGGCCGAAAGGCGUAGUCGAUGGGAAACGGGUUAAUAUUCCCGUACUUGGUGUUACUGCGAAGGGGGGACGGAGAAGGCUAUGUUGGCCGGGCGACGGUUGUCCCGGUUUAAGCGUGUAGGUGUGUGUUCCAGGUAAAUCCGGUUCACUUUAACACUGAGGCGUGAUGACGAGGCACUACGGUGCUGAAGCAACAAAUGCCCUGCUUCCAGGAAAAGCCUCUAAGCAUCAGGUAACAUCAAAUCGUACCCCAAACCGACACAGGUGGUCAGGUAGAGAAUACCAAGGCGCUUGAGAGAACUCGGGUGAAGGAACUAGGCAAAAUGGUGCCGUAACUUCGGGAGAAGGCACGCUGACACGUAGGUGAAGUGAUUUACUCAUGGAGCUGAAGUCAGUCGAAGAUACCAGCUGGCUGCAACUGUUUAUUAAAAACACAGCACUGUGCAAACACGAAAGUGGACGUAUACGGUGUGACGCCUGCCCGGUGCCGGAAGGUUAAUUGAUGGGGUCAGCGCAAGCGAAGCUCCUGAUCGAAGCCCCGGUAAACGGCGGCCGUAACUAUAACGGUCCUAAGGUAGCGAAAUUCCUUGUCGGGUAAGUUCCGACCUGCACGAAUGGCGUAAUGAUGGCCAGGCUGUCUCCACCCGAGACUCAGUGAAAUUGAACUCGCUGUGAAGAUGCAGUGUACCCGCGGCAAGACGGAAAGACCCCGUGAACCUUUACUAUAGCUUGACACUGAACAUUGAGCCUUGAUGUGUAGGAUAGGUGGGAGGCUUUGAAGUGUGGACGCCAGUCUGCAUGGAGCCGACCUUGAAAUACCACCCUUUAAUGUUUGAUGUUCUAACGUGGACCCGUAAUCCGGGUUGCGGACAGUGUCUGGUGGGUAGUUUGACUGGGGCGGUCUCCUCCUAAAGAGUAACGGAGGAGCACGAAGGUUGGCUAAUCCUGGUCGGACAUCAGGAGGUUAGUGCAAUGGCAUAAGCCAGCUUGACUGCGAGCGUGACGGCGCGAGCAGGUGCGAAAGCAGGUCAUAGUGAUCCGGUGGUUCUGAAUGGAAGGGCCAUCGCUCAACGGAUAAAAGGUACUCCGGGGAUAACAGGCUGAUACCGCCCAAGAGUUCAUAUCGACGGCGGUGUUUGGCACCUCGAUGUCGGCUCAUCACAUCCUGGGGCUGAAGUAGGUCCCAAGGGUAUGGCUGUUCGCCAUUUAAAGUGGUACGCGAGCUGGGUUUAGAACGUCGUGAGACAGUUCGGUCCCUAUCUGCCGUGGGCGCUGGAGAACUGAGGGGGGCUGCUCCUAGUACGAGAGGACCGGAGUGGACGCAUCACUGGUGUUCGGGUUGUCAUGCCAAUGGCACUGCCCGGUAGCUAAAUGCGGAAGAGAUAAGUGCUGAAAGCAUCUAAGCACGAAACUUGCCCCGAGAUGAGUUCUCCCUGAGACUUAGAGUCUCCUGAAGGAACGUUGAAGACGACGACGUUGAUAGGCCGGGUGUGUAAGCGCAGCGAUGCGUUGAGCUAACCGGUACUAAUGAACCGUGAGGCUUAACCUUACAACGCCGAAG
rnacentral:rRNA from 1 species